AUGCAUUCUUAAACCCUCUUGGCAGCUUCGGUCACGUGCUUCCAAGAUAUGAGUGAAUGCUAGAGAAAUUGCGGGGGAGUCCAAGGGCUGCGCUUGUCUUGUGGCUUCAGUCUUAUUUCAGACCUGCGACAUCU
ensembl:snoRNA